GUAACGUGGUUUUCAGUCGACUGGGUGGACAUGUUCAUCCCUGAAAGUACCUACGAUAUCGUCAUGAUACAAACGAAUGACACUCUGUGAUCAAAACGCCGAAGGACAGUGCAAAAAUGAUGGAAUAGUCGGAAGUGCAGGAUUGGGACCUAAAUGCCAUGAGAAUGGUGACGCAAUGUCUGGAGUAAUUUAUGAUAAUAUGCAUUAUGAAGGUGUAC